ensembl:lncRNA
CCAGCUUUGAUGCGGGGUCGGUGAGCCGAGGAGUCGAAAGAAAGAUUUCUUGGACUCUCAAGAUCUGGCAGUAGUGCUCUUUUAUUUAGAGAAUAGUGUGGAAUAGCAUGUGGACAGGACCCAUGGGCAGUCAGAGCUUCUGCUGCCGCUUCUGCUGCCCCCGCUGGCAUGGGGACAGGACCCACAGGCAGGCAGAGCCGCUGCUGCUGCCCCCACUGGCAUGGGGACAGGACCCAUGGGCAGGCAGCAGCAGGAGCUCUGACUGCCCGUGGGUUCUGUCCCCAUGCACCAGCUCUGCCUGCCCAUGGGUCCUGUCCCCAUGCCAGCGGGGGCAGCAGCAGCAGCUCUGCCUGCCCAUGGGCUCUGUCCCCAUGCCAGCGGGGGCAGCAGAAGCGGCGGCAGCAGAAGCUCUGACUGCCCAUGGGUCCUGUCCCCAUGCUAUUCCACACUAUUUUCUAAAUAAAAGAGCACUACUGCCAGAUCUUGAGAGUCUAAGAAAUCUUUCUUUCGACUCCUCGGCUCACCGACCCCGCAUCAUUUCUGGUGGCCCGUACGGGGAAUUGCUUCAUCGGCUUGUGAGCUCGAGUUCUGGUAAGUGCCCUUUUCUUCCUUAUGCCUUUCUCUUUUUCAAGGAUGGAUCUAGAUUCACUGCUCCAUCGGGAACUUUCUCGGACAGCUGUAUGAAUCCACGUUUGCUGCCCAUGGCUACUCUAUGGGGCAAAUUGUGGCAUUCAGCUUGAAGAGAUUCAGUACCUUAAGCCUCAGGGUGAUGGAGAAUGAAUUAAUCCAUUCCUUCCUGACUUUAUCUCUAAUAGACAAAUUUUGCGUGGGCGCGGGUCGGCCACUUAAGUCAUUAGGACAGCCGCCAAUCUCCAAGACUCCCGUGGAAGGUUUCUUUUCCUAAGGCUGGAUUGGGAUCCCUCCCUCUGGCACCUGACCAUGCUCUGAACUGCGAGGAAAGUCCCACUCGGGACUCCAGUUCAAGGAAAGUACCAAACUCUAACCUUUGGUGGAGUAUGGGAACCCCUUCUUGGGAGAAUGGCUCCAGGCUGCAAUUGGGUAGAAUGUCCCCCAGACUGGCGGAAAAUUCCUCACUGUCUUUCUCUUUCUCACUGUCUUUGUCCUUUUCUCUCCUGGGGACCAUACGCCAGGCACCUAUUCCUGCCAGGCAGAAUAGGGAAGAUGUUCAAGGGAUGCCCCAUCCCUUGCUACAGGAACUCCAUUGGGGGGAUUUUCAAGGUAAUGGCUCCCUUUCUCUGGGACCAUACGCCAGGCACCUAUUACUGUCAGGCAGAAUAGAGAAGAUGUUCAAGGGAUGCCCCCAUCAUCCCUUGCAACAGGAACCCCAAUGGGGGGAUUUUCAAGGUAAUGGCCCCUUUUCUUUCUCCUUUUCUCUCAGGAACCAUUCACCAGGCCUAUGCUGUCAGGCAGAAUAGGCACCAGGCACCUGUUACUGCCAGGCAUAACAGGGAAGGUAUACAAGGGAUGCAAUGCCGGGGGACGCCCCCAUCACCCCUUGCUAUAGGAACCCCACAGUAGGAACGACGGGUAGGACGCUGCCCUAGGUUCAGGGGGGAUUUUUCAUGGUAAUGGACCCGUUUCUUUUGUCUCUCUUAAGAGUUACAAUGGCCAUUUUCGUCUCCAUUUGAGCUUUGCAAUUGGGAAAGAAAUCUUUAAAGAGUAAAAGGCUCCACCGCUGGGAGCCCCAACUUUGGGUUUCUGGGCCUGAUCACCCCAGCAACCCUAAGUGGGGGUGCCCUCUCUUGACGGUUGACUCAUUGAGUAUUUUAGUCACCUACUGAGUCGGUUAUGAGGGUAGGAGACCUGUGAUUCAUUCUGUGAACUGUCGUGCUAGGGUAGUGUGCCGCAGCAUAGGAACUGUUGUGUGACUCUUAUCUUGAUAACCCUCUGGAAGAGGCCAGGAGGGCGAGGUUUGAGCUCUUCUUUUCCUUUCUUUGUCUGUCUUAUUCAUCAUCUCCUUUGUUGUCACCAAGUCGAGGUUAAAGUUCAGGCUGGACCUGAGCAGAACCUUGACCUUCUGUAAAAUUGGAAAAAUAAGCCUUUUGCCAGGGAUUUAACUCUCAAACCUGGCUCUAGGAGCCCCAGCCUCCAGCCAGUUCCAGGCCUUUGCCUCUUGCUUCCCUACCUCAACUGUGCUGGCUCGGAGACAAAGUGCCCAGGCUGAGCGGGACUUGACUAAAUCUUAUAGCUAUGUCAACAUCCGCAAUCGGCCUCUGCAGCCUUUCUCCAUCUGCUGUCAGUCAGACACUGGCUUUACUGCCACAGGGAAGGCCCCUAAGCAUCCCCGGAGGCCCACCCUGCGGAUGCAUUCUAACUCCAUCUGGGAGAAAACUUGAGGGGUUUCUCUGUGCUUUUGUGAUGCAGCUGGACAGGUAGAUCAAACUGGAAUGUAAUUUGCGUUACGAUCCAGUUUGUGGGAAAUCAAGAGCAACUGUCUUUAGAAAAUCCUUGCAAGAAUGGAAAUACAGCUCUAGAGGCAGUUCAGACUCCACCUAGUUCCUUUAUCACGAAAAGGAUUAUCAUCUCCCCUCUCCAGGAACUACUAUCUAAGCCCAUCACUAAUUCCUAAGACUGAAGCAAAAAAAAAAA